rnacentral:rRNA from 1 species
AGUAGGGAAUAUUGGACAAUGGGCGAAAGCCUGAUCCAGCCAUGCCGCGUGAGUGACGAAGGCCUUCGGGUUGUAAAGCUCUUUUGGCGGGGACGAUAAUGACGGUACCCGCAGAAUAAGCUCCGGCUAACUUCGUGCCAGCAGCCGCGGUAAUACGAAGGGAGCUAGCGUUGUUCGGAAUCACUGGGCGUAAAGCGCACGUAGGCGGAUGUGUCAGUCAGGGGUGAAAUCCCGGAGCUCAACUUCGGAACUGCCUUUGAUACAGCACAUCUGGAGUCCGGAAGAGGUGGGUGGAAUUCCUAGUGUAGAGGUGAAAUUCGUAGAUAUUAGGAAGAACACCGGUGGCGAAGGCGGCCCACUGGUCCGGUACUGACGCUGAGGUGCGAAAGCGUGGGGAGCAAA